rnacentral:rRNA from 1 species
UACAGAGGGGGCAAGCGUUAUUCGGAAUUAUUGGGCGUAAAGGGCGCGUAGGCGGCUUGGCAAGUGGGAGGUGAAAUCCCUCGGCUUAACCGAGGAACUGCCCUCCAAACUGCUUCGCUUGAGACCGGGAGAGGUGAGUGGAAUUCCCAGUGUAGCGGUGAAAUGCGUAGAUAUUGGGAGGAACACCAGUGGCGAAGGCGGCUCACUGGACCGGUACUGACGCUGAUGCGCGAAAGCGUGGGGAGCAAACGGG